UGGGUUGUGGCUCAGUGGUAGAGCUCUUGCCUAGCAAGUAUGAAGCACCGAGUUCGAUCCUCAGGACCCCAU
rfam:Ictidomys tridecemlineatus contig009048, whole genome shotgun sequence.